rnacentral:lncRNA from 1 species
AGAGACUGAGUUUUGCUGAUAUUUAGAGAGCCCUAUGGAGAAAUAAGAUGGUAGCGAUCCAGAUGAACCACCCGAUGUGGUGGAAAGAUGAAAGCAUAAAGAUGAAAGCAUUCAGAUGAUGCUUUCAGCAUGAGGAACAACUCAGAUUCUGGCCUGGUGAGUGAUUUGAGUUAACAGAGGAUCUAGGCAAUGGAGGAUUCCCUUUUCUGGUAGAUUGUUUGCAUCCCAUGUGCUAGAAGCCGAGAACGAGAUGGUGCUGAGAUUGCAAUUGGUGGCAGGAGAGAAAUGCCAGGGCCACGGAGUGCUCAGACUGGUCACACGGGGGAAUGUCAGCCAAAGGAACAGUGACAUCCAAUUGGGUAGGAACCCAUCAGGUGCCCUAAUAGAAAGAGGGAGAGAGCAGCAAUGAGAGAUGAAUUGCCCACAAUCUGCAGAGCAUAGAUACAGUUUCUUGAAAGCUGCAUGUCAUAAGGAUUUUCCCAGGCUCAUGUCAGAUGAGGAUUUAGGCCCUCUUAUGACAUGAGUGUAUCAUGUGGAAUGGACACAUCAACAAUCAUGGUAAUUAAGAGUUGUGACAUUUCGUUAAUUGCUGUAUAUACUUAUUAUAAUGCAAUGAUGAUC